UACAGAGGGGGCAAGCGUUAUUCGGAAUUAUUGGGCGUAAAGGGCGCGUAGGCGGCCUUUCAAGUGACGGGUGAAAUCCCUCGGCUUAACCGAGGAACUGCCUGUCAGACUGGGAGGCUUGAGACCGGGAGAGGUGAGUGGAAUUCCCAGUGUAGCGGUGAAAUGCGUAGAUAUUGGGAGGAACACCAGUGGCGAAGGCGGCUCACUGGACCGGUACUGACGCUGAGGCGCGAAAGCGUGGGGAGCAAACAGGG
rnacentral:rRNA from 1 species